rnacentral:sRNA from 1 species
UUCUCUGAUUAGAAAAUUUACCAAUGGAUCCUUCUGAGCCUUCACUGCUUAUUUGUAUUCACAAUUCAGUUUUCUCGGGAAAAUU